UACGGGGGGGGCAAGCGUUGUUCGGAAUUACUGGGCGUAAAGGGCUCGUAGGCUGCCAACUAAGUCGGACGUGAAAUCCCUCGGCUUAACCGGGGAACUGCGUCCGAUACUGUCGGACUAGAGUCCGGAAGAGGCAAGUGGAAUUCCCGGUGUAGCGGUGAAAUGCGCAGAUAUCGGGAGGAACACCAAUGGCGAAGGCAGCUUGCUGGGACGUCACUGACGCUGAGACGCGAAAGCGUGGGGAGCAAACAGG
rnacentral:rRNA from 1 species